CCUACGGGUGGCAGCAGUCGAGAAUCAUUCACAAUGGGGGAAACCCUGAUGGUGCGACGCCGCGUGGGGGAAUGAAGGUCUUCGGAUUGUAAACCCCUGUCAUGUGGGAGCAAAUUAAAAAGAUAGUACCACAAGAGGAAGAGACGGCUAACUCUGUGCCAGCAGCCGCGGUAAUACAGAGGUCUCAAGCGUUGUUCGGAAUCACUGGGCGUAAAGCGUGCGUAGGCUGUUUCGUAAGUCGUGUGUGAAAGGCGCGGGCUCAACCCGCGGACGGCACAUGAUACUGCGAGACUAGAGUAAGGGAGGGGGAACCGGAAUUCUCGGUGUAGCAGUGAAAUGCGUAGAUAUCGAGAGGAACACUCGUGGCGAAGGCGGGUUCCUGGACAUUAACUGACGUUGAGGCACGAAGGCCAGGGGAGCGAAAGGGAUUAGAUACCCCUGUAGUC
rnacentral:rRNA from 1 species